rnacentral:rRNA from 1 species
AUUGAACGCUGGCGGCAGGCCUAACACAUGCAAGUCGAGCGAGCGGCGGACGGGUGAGUAAUGUCUGGGGAUCUGCCCGAUAGAGGGGGAUAACUACUGAAACGGGGGCUAAUACCGCAUACCACUGGAAGAACCCAAAUGGGAUUUGGUAGUAGGUGGGGUAAAGGCUCACCUAGGGGACGAUCUCUAGCUGGUCUGAGAGGAUGAACAGUCACACUGGAACUGAGACACGGCCCAGACUCCUACGGGAGGCAGCAGUGGGGAAUAUUGCACAAUGGGCGCAAGCCUGAUGCAGCCAUGCCGCGUGUAUGAAGAAGGCCUUAGGGUUGUAAAGUACUUUCAGCGAGGAGGCGUUACUCGCAGAAGAAGCACCGGCUAACUCCGUGCCAGCCGCCGCGGUAAUAC